rnacentral:rRNA from 1 species
AUUCCAGCUCCAGUAGCGUAUAUUAAAGUUGUUGCAGUUAAAAAGCUCGUAGUUGGAUUUCUGGCGUGGCCCGCCCGGCCCGCCGCCGAUAAGGCGGCGAGUGCCGGCGCGAGCCUGCCAUCCUUCCGGAGAGCGCGCGUGCCCUUCACUGGGUUGCGCGCGCGGUCUGGAUCGUUUACUUUGAAAAAAUUAGAGUGUUUAAAGCAGGCUUACGCUUCUGAAUACAUUAGCAUGGAAUAAUAAGAUAGGACUUUGGUUCUAUUUUGUUGGUUUCUAGGACUAAAGUAAUGAUUGAUAGGGACAGUUGGGGGUGCUAGUAUUUAACGGCCAGAGGUGAAAUUCUUGGAUUCGUUAAAGACUAACUAAUGCGAAAGCAUUCACCAAGGAUGUCUUCAUCG